GCACUGGAUCGACCUGCCCUUGAGGUAGGAGC
rnacentral:sRNA from 1 species